rnacentral:lncRNA from 10 species
GCCUUUCUACAUUCUGUCAUGUGAAGACAGUGCUCCUCUCCUCUGCACGAAUCAGCAACAUGACACCAUCUUGGAAGCAGAGAGCAGCCCUAACCAGAUAACCAAAUCUGUUGGCACCGUUAUCUUAGAUUUCCCAGUCUCCAGAGCUGUGAGAAAAUUAAUUUCUGUUAUUUAUAAAUUAGUCUCCAGUAUUUGUUAUAGCAGCACAAAACAGAUGGACUAAGACAGACAUCUGAUGAGUUUAACACAGUACCUUGCACAUGGUAAGUGUUCAACAAAUGAUACCAAUUCUUAAUGUACUCUUUUAGCUUCAGUAACUCCUAAUACAUACUCUUUGUGGGUGUGAAGCAUGCAAUAUCGGUUGAAUUAAAAUAAUUUAGUAUUUGAGGGAGAAAUAGGCAAUAACUGCAGUGGAUGGAGGUUUGUACUAGAUGAUACCUAGUAAGUUAGCAUUUGACUUAGUAUUUAACAUGUUUUAAUUCAACAUAUUUUAAUUACUUUUAUCAUCAUAAUUAUUAGUAUUUUAAAAAUAAGGUGAUUUUGCUGAAAUCCUUGUCAGUCCUCUCUACGUUCUAGAAUGUAACCAUUAUAACCUUAUAACCAUAGUUUUCCAUGUAAAUUUUCUGCUCAUGCUUUCAUAAGAAGCCUAUUCUCACAGGCUAUCAUAGAAUUUGACGAUUUCCUUUCAGAGAAGCAUAAUUGCUAUAAUAUGUGAGAUGCAUUUAUAAUGUUAUAUAAUUUUUUUUAAUGCUAGUUAUAUUUUCUCAUGGCUAUACUCUGGGAGUAAUUUUAAAACAGCUUUUGUUUUUAAUAUAGGAAUAGUUUAUAGGAACUUCUACUAUUCAUUCAUUAAU